GAUGUUGAAACGGGGAAGAAAUUUAAUGUUAAACAAAACAUCCGUACUACUCUAUCAAUGGCUAUAAUCACCAUCGUGAGAAGUAGAAUAUCAGAUGUAAGUCAUUAUGUAAAAAGAAAAAAAGGAAAUAGUCAAGUGCAGGUUUAGCACAGGGGCAUCAGAGAACAGAGGAAAGUCUGAGGGACUUGCAUACUGAUGGGGAGGUGAGGCAGGGACGGGGCCAGGAAGCCAAGGCUGCUCAGGGCCUGGCAGUGGGCGGCUCCUUGCAGCAGGGAACUCAGGCCAGAGGUAGGCCUUCCAGUGUCAGGCCUGUCAGAGGGACCCUCUGGAAGUGAAGGGGGAAGGAUAUGCCCGGAAUGGGGCUCUGCCACAAGGAACUCCCAGACAGGCUGCUGUCCUCCUCAGACAGGAAGGCACAGGCCCAGGAGACAGGGAGAGCCUUCCUCCAGGUCUCCUGCCCUGCUGGGGCCUCAGCUGACAGCAAGCUGGGUCGCUUAGGAUGAUGAGGGCACUAAGAUGCUAAUGUCAGGGUCAGGGUCCACCACUGACUCCUCCUGCGAGACCCGCAGCCGGCCCUCAGGGGUCCCCCUCGCUGAGGAUCAGCUCAGCGCCCCAUCUGACAGGGUCUGGAGCGACAGGCAGAGACACUGAGGCAUGCUGACCCACGGAAGGCACCUUGGUCCUUGGGGCCUCUGGGCUUCCAAGCCUCUCCCACGUCCCUGGGUCAGCAGAACAUCCCCGUCCCUGACAGACAGGUCAGACCUGGAGAAGGGAAACCUGGCCUGAUGCUGUGGUGUCGUCCCUGCAGGACAGGAGGGGAGGGCAGUUAAAGGAUGGGUCAAGGGUGAGCAGGAGGGUAAAGGUCGCUUCAGAAGAUGGUUUCCGGGAAGGGCAUCGUACAGGGCCUUCUGAAUGAGGUGGGGCUCCUCCAGAACCAUGUGAGGCUCUUAGACCUGGAUGAGGCUUCUGCAUAAGAGCUGCCCAACAAAGGAGCAGAAAUCCGUGAGCACUUCCCAGAGGGCCUCCACCGCACUGCAGACGGCCUGUAGGCAGGCCGCGGCCUUCUCCCACAGCCAGGUGAGCGCAUCCCGACACCCGGACAGGAAACUCUGCAGAAUGCCCAAGAACUGCCGCAGGGCUCUGGCCCAGAUGCUCUCUUCCGGAUUCUGGACCUCCAGAGAGGUGGAGACGGAGCGUCUCUGGAUUCUGCAGCGUACUUCUUGCUGUGCUUCCUGAAGCAAGGGACUGGACUCCUUCAGGGUUUC
rnacentral:lncRNA from 1 species